rnacentral:lncRNA from 1 species
UGGCCCUGCUGCAGGGACUUGGCCCAGGCAAAAGCAAUAGGGGAAAAUUUCACCUCUUUCUUCAAAAUUCCUUCAUUUCACCUCAUUCACAUGUUGGGAGUUGUGCAAGAGUGAGGGACCCAGCUGUGUGUGUGGCACCUGGACUGGAGCACUGCUGGGUGUCACUGUCACUGGGGUGGGUGUGUGGCACUGGUGGCUCCCUCUGGGGACGGCAGAGCUGAGGGGAGCACCUUCACCCCUGAGCAGGGACCCUGAGCCUCCCUGGCAGCCCUGGAGUUAUGUCCUUGUGUCCCUUGGUGGCUGCGGUGUCCCUGUGUCCCUUGGUGCUGCUGUGUCCCUGGCUGUGCCAGUCUGGGGGCAGGGGGGCAGAGGAGCUGUUAGGCUCUGGUUUCUGUCAGAGCCAGGUCCUGCCCACUGCUUUGUGUCCCUGCUGGGCUCAGGGUUUGGGGACAGCUCUGUGUCCCCU